rnacentral:lncRNA from 1 species
GUGCAAAAUGCAAUGUAAAAAUCAAUACAAUCAUUUUAGACUUUACACUGAUUCCUACCUCGGUCAGUUGUAUGUUCAUUAUCUAGAUUUAUGUAAUUUUAUCUUUAACUUUUGUACUAAAUGAGAUGAGGUAUGCAAUUGGCGUAAAAAGUCCUGACAGUGUUUCUCCUUCAAUUUUAGCUUUGCUCUACUCUACCGAUAUUUUUCACAGUAUUGUCUAAUAACUUAUCGCUAUAGUAUUAGCUGUCACUUCUUGUUUUAAUUUACAUCACUUUGUGAAUCUAAACAGUUUCAAAUUAUUAUUUUCAUUUUCAGUGAAGGUGAAAUUAACAAUUUUUAAACUGUUUGAGCUCAAUUUACUUCUCGAAAAAAGGAGGUAUGUUGUAUUAAGUUAAAAUGGUAUAUGAGGACUAUUAUCAAAUCUGCCUCAUACAAAGUGCAUUGGCAACAAUUGAUUUUUUUUCUUUUCAGUUUAUCUGUGAAACAUUUGAGUGCAUCAUAAGUGGUUUCAAACGUAACUAAGGGGCGUGCGCCUCCUGACCGCUUAGCGGUCCAACCUUCUUAUGAUGCGCCUUGCGCCUUAGGCUCUAUGCGUUACGCCUUAUUAUUAUAAUUUUAUAUCAUAGAGUAUGAUUAGCACACUGAAUGAAUAACUCAUGAGGUAUCGAUGCAAAAUAUAUAUUCUAUUUAUUAAUUAAUCAGUCUUGAAUUGAAUAAGUACAAAAGUAUAAAAAAUUAAAGUAGGGUGUUAUUACUAGUUCUUAGCGCACUAUGAUGAGAUUCAGACUUGAUGACUUGGAGGAAUCAUAGUUGGUUACCAUUCUUGUGGUAAAUGACAACGUUCUUGAAGAAAGCGUUGCUGACGUUGUUGUUCCACUCAGCGGUGUUGACGGGGCGGUCGAAGGGGAAUCCAAGAGGGCGGUUGUCGAACACCUUCUUGUUGGAACAAGUCAGAGAAGUUGGAAGCUUCUUGGUCAAUAUUGAAGUUGUUUCCGAUUUGUUGCUGUUCUUGGUCGUGGUUCUGCUCAUGGAUGUUCCUCAUCAGUCGGAGAAUUGCAUUUGUCUCUGCAGGAAAUUCUUGUCAGCUGUAAUAAAAUUCAGAAUACUUCAAUUUUCGAAAGAAUACGCAGAUUUUGGUCAAUAAAAUACAUAAAAUUUACUUGGAUUGAGAAAAACAUAGCUUUCUGACAUAGUAUCUCUUGCACCAUAAUCAUAUGUGAUGUAUACAAGUUUUAGGAAGACGUCCAGACUCUCGAACGAAAUGUUGAUGCUCGAUAGCAUUUAAUCUCAUACUUGCAUUAUAACUGAUGGUCUCAAAAGUCCAGAUUUAUAUGGGUCGAAAAGAGACUAGAAUUUCCUUUUACCAACUUUUUAUAUUAAAUUCUUACGACUUCAAUUCAUCUCGAAAAACGAUUGCACGCACUUUGCUCAGUCUAUGUAAAUUUAAUUAUUCCAACCGAUAAAACUGUGUACAUGAGGAAGGAAAUUGGAUCUUACUCAAUGAAAUUAUUUGAAAGUGUAAGGAAUCCUCCAGAAAAACUAUGAAAAAUAUUUUUUUGAAAAGAAAAUCCUAGACUGCAAUUUCAAAACUGAGAAAGUGCAAGUUAAAAUAAUUUAUUUUGACAUCAAAAAUAAAUUACACCAUUAUUUCAGACAUAUAUUACACAAAUCGCUUAAAAAUUUUAGGAGAUGCAACAAUGAAACGGCAUUCAAAAAUUUAAAAAAAAAGAAACUUAUAUUUCACUGGAGUGAAAUGAUUGAAAAUUUCUACCCACAAAACUUUGAUUUGACGCGAUCGUUUCAAUAAAUAAAACUUGGAGCGAAAUUAAAUAUCUCUGCAUUGAGUCAGUAAAUUGUGUUUGCGAAAAGAAAAGGAAAUUCUCUAGUAUCCAGAGCUUGUACACUCGGUAGACACUUAGAAAAGUUAGCGAUUUUCAAAAUUUAUAAAUUCAAAGUAUAUUUUGCAGAAAUGAAGCUUUUCUCACCUGGGACCAUUCCACCGUUGUUAUCACCACCAUCGGUAGCAUCUCGGCCCAAAUGGUGGGCAGCGAGAGCCACAGAGGUGCACAAGCACAAAGAAAUGAGCCAAGAACGCAUGGUGAACAACUGGAAGUAAAAGAUGCUUUCUCUAGGACUGCACAGAGCUUUUAUACUAAAUCCUCAUGAACUUUAUCAGCCGUUAUCAGCCAGACGGCAAAAAAAUAAAAAAGAGGAAAAAGGCUGUUUACAACUUAUUGCUCUUUAAUUGCAAUACAUUGAUCGAUAUUUAAUUGGUUGCCAAGAUUAGUUAUGCUACUAGAUAGGAUUCAUUCUCCCCCCCCUUCCUCCUGCCGCAGCUAGAUGGCUUUUGGUUUGCAAAAAACACCAACGAUAACGUGAAAGAGGGAGAGUGGGCUCAGUAUUUUGCAGUUUUUUUUGUCUCUUUCGCUCUGAUAAGAUAGCUUAACAUUCUCUGUCUGAUAACUCAAAAAAUUGCAAGCUGUUUCAUUUAGGCUCGGUAAUGUCUUGCGCUCGUUCAGGUCUUGUGUAUCUGCCCCUCUCUAAGUGUUCCUUCUCAUCUCAUACUUAAUUAGUAUCGCUGUUGGUUUUUGGCCGAUCCAGAACUUUCUCCAAGAUGUUUUCAAAAAAAGCUUGGCUUGCAUUUUUAUGGUUGACUUAGAUGCCUUUACCUCUUUCAAUGAGAAAAAAUUGCCGAUGCGUGAGGACUCUACGUAUAGUGCCAUAUAGAGAAAGUUCUAAAGGUUUCCUCCUUUACAGUCUGGCUUAGAUAUCUGUGACAUUUAGUGUAACCACAAUUUGUAUGAUAUGGGUGUAAAAUUUCAUUCGAAAUCGCGUCAAAUCUAGUUGUGUUGAGAAUUUUGUAACGAAUUAUACUACCAUGAAUAAAUAUAUUAAUUUUUUAUGAUCACAAAGAAUGUAUAAUAAAAGUUAUAUUGAAAAAACGAACUUCAAAAGCAAAAUUUUAAAGCGUCUCCAUCCUUCCGUAAUACUCUAGGCUUUACUAAGCAGUUAGGUAGUUUAGUUGUUUAAUCAAAGUGAACCCAACUUAGGACACCAUAACUGAAAUCAAGCUUUCAUUAAAGGGUCUUGAGAUUAAUACAAUUUUGGAUCGAGACACCUUCUUUUCGUGUAUAUGAUUAUUUACGCGUCGUCAAGCUUCAGCUUAGUCAUUCAGUUUAGUUGCUUAGCCUUGCCAACUGGGGGCCCCUAGAAAAAUAUUUUAUUCUCCAUUUCAGAUGGGAUUUCAUGAUGAAGUCCCACUUCUUUACUUGAUACUUGCUCUGGCCAAUCGAAAAGUUCUUCGUUUAAGGUGGGAUUUUAUGUUCAAGCCCUGUUUUUUCACUCAAAACUCUCUAGUCACUUAAAGGUGUCGAU